ensembl:processed_transcript
AGCGGGAAGCUGGGGCGUGGACGACAGGGGUUAUAAAGAGAGAAUGAUCUAAGGGAUACGGUGUUGUUGUGUCUUAACAAUUUAGCUUGGUUCUAACGUUGUCUACUGGAGAUGGUAUCAGAACCAACAAAUUCUGGAGUGUCUCAGGAUUGCCCCCACCCCCGUUUCAGACCAACUGCAGAUAAUGGUUGUGAGUCACCACAACCCAGUGGUUGCUGGGAAUUGAACUCAGGACCCCUGGAAGAGCAGUCAUUGCUCUUAACCGCUGAGCUAUCUCUCCAGCUCCCUGAUGUGAACUCUUUAUGAGAUCGGCUAGCUUCUGCCUCUCGAGUGCUGGGACGAAAGCUUCAGUUUGGUGCAGCGCCUGGUGGUACAGGGACCACUUUACAGCUGGCUCCGAGCAUCAGCUGACAAGAGGAUCAGACCUAGCAUUGUCCCGGAUCUUAAAGGAAGCCAACCCGUUAGCAAACUAGGUGGCUGGGAGUUGGGCGGUGUCAGGUGCCCAGAACCAGGACGCAAAGCACCGUGCCUCUGUGGCCAGCUUGCCCCACGGCCUGUGAAGAGUACAGCUAGCAUUAUUUUAAAGAUACAGACAACGUCGAAAGCCUGUGAGAGACACAUGCAUGGGGGGGGGGUGUCGGGGGGCGCAUUCCCUCAUUCAUUAUCACUAAUCCUUUGCAUUGCUAUGUGAUUAAGAUCAAUUUGAGGGAAAAACGAAAGCAAAAACCAAAACAAAACCUUGUUGGCCAGGCAUGGUGGCAUACACCUUUAAGCCCAUCACUCAGAAGGCAAAAGCAGAGGCAGGUGGAUGUCUAUUUGUUCAAGACCAGCCUGAGCUAUAUAGUGACCUGCUGUCUAGAAACAAACAAGCAGACAUGUGUCUGGAGAAGGGUGGUCUAUGGCCAUUUGUUGCCACUGAAAUGUACUCAGACCUGCCAGCAUUUUUUCACCUCUAUUGCCAUCUAGAGGAGACAAUUGGAAGGACAUGAAGUGAAAACCAAUACUGGAAACAUUUGUACAAAACUCUAAGAAUCACUACACUUUGGUGGCUCCAACAUUAUGUUUUUCUCCUCUCUUUCCAUCUGGCCCAGUUACAGGCAGGAUUUGAAUAUCCACUUAUGGGCUUUUAUAUCGGCACUUCCGGCACUUCGAGGGCUCUGGUGGACACCUCUUAUAGACAUAAAACCAUGAAACUUCCUGAUACUCUGCAGGAUUUGGAGAUGAGGUGGUUUGUUUGUUUGUUUGAUUACUUGGAUUUUGGUGAAUGAAUAAGAGGAUGGAGCCUUUCAACACAGAGAGGCAGUUUCCUGAAGUCCGUAGCCUCAGAACCCAUUGAUUUUGCAGGAUGUUUCUAGGCAGCAUGUUGGUCAAAUAUGUAUUGCUAGGGAAAGCAGUAUUGAGGUGUUUUCUUUAUGGCCUUUAAUUUACUGGUGUGCACUGUGAAUUUGAAGAGAUCAAAAAAUGGGGUAAGCAGUCUCAAACUUCCUUGACCUUGAAGCCUUUCACAGGACCGAUGUGAAAUACCCUGUGUACACUUCAAGAACUGUUCCCACAGGCAAGAGAAGCUGGCCUGCUGCAUGCACACUAUGUGCAAACAGACCAGCCCUUCCCUGCUCUCUUGCUCCUCUCUGUCUAAACAUUGUUGAAGCUUUGUUUGGGGUUGAGUGGUUUAAAGACUGUAACCAUGGUCACUAACAACAGGCAUACAUCUUUGUGAGCGUAUUGUUGAGUGUGCUUUCGUAAGCCUCAAUGGUAUGGGCUAAUUACUCUAUGACAUGGCCUCUUGUGCAACCUGCAACUGUAAAUGCAGCAUCAGGAGGCUGCUGCUGGCCUCACAUGGCAAACUUUUAAGUAAACUCCUUUUGAUCUGGUCUGUGUUGUGCCUCUGCUCAUGCAUGAGACCAGGGUAUUUGGC